rnacentral:rRNA from 1 species
GACGAACCGAGCGAACGUUGUUCGGAAUCACUGGGCUUAAAGGGCGCGUAGGCGGGUCGCCGCGUCCGGGGUGAAAUCCUCCCGCUCAACGGGAGAACGGCCUCGGAUACGGGCGGCCUGGAGGGGGGUAGGGGCGUGCGGAACUGUGGGUGGAGCGGUGAAAUGCGUUGAUAUCCACAGGAACUCCGGUGGCGAAGGCGGCACGCUGGACCCCACCUGACGCUGAGGCGCGAAAGCCAGGGGAGCGAACGGG